AAAGUCGUAACAAGGUUUCCGUAGGUGAACCUGCGGAAGGAUCAUUACAAGAAUGCGGGUUCGCCCAUGUUCUCACCACCGCGUAUCAACUCUGUUGCCUCGGCCUUCGGGCCGCUGGAAAGCCAGACAACCGUUUGACACCGUCAAUAUCAUCCAAAACCAAAACUUUUAACAAUGGAUCUCUUGGCUCCG
rnacentral:misc_RNA from 1 species